GACGAACGCUGGCGGCGUGCUUAACACAUGCAAGUCGAACGGAAAGGCCCUGCUUUUGUGGGGUGCUCGAGUGGCGAACGGGUGAGUAACACGUGAGUAACCUGCCCUGGACUUUGGGAUAACUUCAGGAAACUGGGGCUAAUACCGGAUAGGAGCUCCUGCUGCAUGGUGGGGGUUGGACAGUUUCGGCGGUGGGGGAUGGACUCGCGGCUAAUCAGCUUGUUGGUGGGGUAGUGGCUUACGAAGGCUUUGACGGGUAGCCGGCCUGAGAGGGUGACCGGCCACAUUGGGCCUGCGAUACGGCCCAGAGUCCUACGGGAGGCAGCAGUGGGGAAUAUUGCACAAUGGGCGGAAGCCUGAUGCAGCAACGCCGCGUGUGGGAUGACGGCCUUCGGGUUGUAAACCGCUUUCGCCUGUGACGAAGCGUGAGUGACGGUAAUGGGUAAAGAAGCACCGGCUAACUACGUG
rnacentral:rRNA from 1 species